GACGAACGCUGGCGGCGUGCUUAACACAUGCAAGUCGAACGGAAAGGCCCUGCUUUUGUGGGGUGCUCGAGUGGCGAACGGGUGAGUAACACGUGAGUAACCUGCCCUUGACUUUGGGAUAACUUCAGGAAACUGGGGCUAAUACCGGAUAGGAGCUCCUGCUGCAUGGUGGGGGUUGGAAAGUUUCGGCGGUUGGGGUUGGACUCGCGGCUUAUCAGCUUGUUGGUGGGGUAGUGGCUUACCAAGGCUUUGACGGGUAGCCGGCCUGAGAGGGUGACCGGCCACAUUGGGACUGAGAUACGGCCCAGACUCCUACGGGAGGCAGCAGUGGGCAAUAUUGCACAAUGGGCGGAAGCCUGAUGCAGCAACGCCGCGUGCGGGAUGACGGCCUUCGGGUUGUAAACCGCUUUCGCCUGUGACGAAGCGUGAGUGACGGUAAUGGGUAAAGAAGCACCGGCUAACUACGUG
rnacentral:rRNA from 1 species